UAUUUUAUUUUAUUUUAUUUUGAGAUUUUUCUUUUUAAUUUCUAUAUUUAUGGGUCUUCUCUACCCCUGUAAUUUGUUUUUGUUGUGUUUUUUGGCUCUCUAGUUAAUCUUAGUUACAGAUUCUGGCUGUAUACCUAGUUUUCUGGUCUGCUUAUCUUUUAAAUUGAUCCGUACGCAUGACUAGAACCUCAGAUCUGUAAGCUGUCUUUCAUCAAUUCUAGUUGUUUACUGAAGAUGCUGGCUUUCCCUCUUUUAAAUCAAUUCAAAAUCUAGCCUAAAUAAUCAACCUUGCUUUCUAUUGUAUGCUAGUAAUGAGGGGAUGCCCAUACUGGAAACUGGAAAGCUUGAGGAAAGCCAAUUUCCAAGUUACUUCAGAGAUAAGGGAACUGAGGAAAUUAAACUCAUUUUUUAUUUGGAUGUAAUUUUUCUUGAGUGUUUAUUUUCGUAUUUGCUUCUUGACUUUGGUAGAUCUGUGCUCUAAUAUUUGUUUGGGGAAAUGUGAAUUGAUAUUUAUAGAUAACAAAAUAUGUUAAGUAAUAGAGCAUUGGA
rnacentral:misc_RNA from 1 species